rnacentral:misc_RNA from 1 species
AACGCACAUUGCGCCCGCCAGCAUCCUGGCGGGCAUGCCUGUUCGAGCGUCAUUUCAACCCUCAAGCCCCCGGGCUUGGUGUUGGGGGCCCUGCGCGCUGCAGCCCCCUAAAGACAGCGGCGGGCGUGGCCUGGCACCGAACGUAGUAGACUCUCUCUCGUUCGCGGUCCAGGGCGCGUUUCCGGCCGGUAAACACCCCCAUUUUUUCGUGGUUGACCUCGGAUCAGGUAGGAAUACCCGCUGAACUUAA